AAGAAUGUGCAUCUGGCCCCAGGGUGGCUGAUGCAGCUGGAGAAGAAGUUGCAUUCCCUGCAGCCGCAUGCCUGCUUCCGACUCUUCCUCACCAUGGAGAUCAACCCCAAGGUGCCUGUGAAUCUGCUCCGUGCGGGCCGCAUCUUUGUGUUCGAGCCACCGCCAGGGGUGAAGGCCAACAUGCUGAGGACGUUCAGCAGCAUUCCCGUCUCACGGAUAUGCAAGGUUGAAAAGUAAAAGCCAUGUUUGAUUAUGGGGUGUGAUGAGGUCCCAGAGGAGCAGAGAUGCCCACGGAGAAGCUGGGACUCAGAGUUGUGUCCCCAGGUGGCAGGCAGUCUCCUCUCCCCCAGCACAGGCCCCCGAGACCAGACAGAGCCCUCCCAGGCGCCAAGUGAAGACCAAAACUCUUGGGCGAGAGGAGGGGGAUUGUGGCAGGGGUUUCGUUCUGUCAAUUCUGUUCUAUUUUGUGCCACAUUCACCUUUUCUGACAUUCUUAGAAACUCUGUCUUCUCUAGAUUUCUUACUGGCUGAAUAAAUUCUGAUGGUCUCAUUGGAUGACAC
rnacentral:sRNA from 1 species